GACGUAGGUGGCGAACGUUAUCCGGAAUUAUUGGGCGUAAAGGGUGCGUAGAUGGUUUAAUAAGUUAGCGGUGGUAAAUCGAGGCUCAACCUCGUGGAAGCUGGUAAUACUGUUAGGCUUGAGUGCAGAAGAGGUUAAUGGAACUCCAUGUGGAGCGGUAAAAUGCAUAGAUAUGACAUAGAACACCCAUUGCGAAGGCAGCUAACUACGCGAUCAUUGACGCUGAUGCACGAAAGCGUGGGGAUCAAACAGG
rnacentral:rRNA from 1 species